GCUAUAAGUAGGAGAUGGGUGGAAGGAUCAUCGCAUCUCGGAAGAACAAGGAAGUGGGGAUUACUAAAAACUAGAAAAAAAAUAUGAUGCCUUUUAAGGCGUUUUUCAUCCUUUUGGCUCUCCUCUGCAGUUUAAUCAUCCAACCAAGUAUGGCUACCAGGGCUACCAGGGAUCUUGCCCAUGAUACACAAACAAAAGUUGAUGGCCAGAAGCCUGCGGAUGCUGGGCAUAUUUCUCGUGGUGCGUUAGCGCCGAGUAGGCAACCAUGUGUAGUGGGCAAGGGCAAGCCUUACGGCCGAUGCCUUCCCUCUCCACCAGUGGUGUAUCCACGUCCCUGCAGAGGGAUCUACAGAUGCCGUCCCCCUCCACCAGUGCCUCCCCCUCCACCAGUGCAUCGACUUCCCUGCAAAAGGAUCUACGGAUGCCGUGGUCGUCCUCCCACACCAUAAUUGCCACAAAAACCUUAUCUAUACUAGUAUCAGGGGCCAUUGACCGCUCUGUGGUCGAACAUAUAUUACCUUCACUUUGUAUCAAUCCAUGCACUAAAUAAGCAGCCCAAGGCUGAUGUCAUGUUUGGGCGUGUUCAGCUUACAACGGAGAGCUAUAUAACACCUCUAUAUUUUAAGUGCUCUUCUACUGUUAUUGUUGUUGUUCUAAGACUUGUGGCUCAGGUCUAUAUCAUCAAAUCAUCAUCAUUAUUGCUGAGUAAA